rnacentral:rRNA from 1 species
GAGCGGAUGACGGGAGCUUGCUCCUUGAUUCAGCGGCGGACGGGUGAGUAAUGCCUAGGAAUCUGCCUGGUAGUGGGGGACAACGUUUCGAAAGGAACGCUAAUACCGCAUACGUCCUACGGGAGAAAGCAGGGGACCUUCGGGCCUUACGCUAUCAGAUGAGCCUAGGUCGGAUUAGCUAGUUGGUGGGGUAAUGGCUCACCAAGGCGACGAUCCGUAACUGGUCUGAGAGGAUGAUCAGUCACACUGGAACUGAGACACGGUCCAGACUCCUACGGGAGGCAGCAGUGGGGAAUAUUGGACAAUGGGCGAAAGCCUGAUCCAGCCAUGCCGCGUGUGUGAAGAAGGUCUUCGGAUUGUAAAGCACUUUAACUUGGGAGGAAGGGCAGUAAGCUAAUACCUUGCUGUUUUGACGUUACCGACAGAAUAAGCACCGGCUAACUCUGUG